AACGAACGCUGGCGGCAGGCUUAACACAUGCAAGUCGAACGCCCCGCAAGGGGAGUGGCAGACGGGUGAGUAACGCGUGGGAAUCUACCUAGUUCUACGGAACAACACAGGGAAACUUGUGCUAAUACCGUAUACGCCCUACGGGGGAAAGAUUUAUCGGAAUUAGAUGAGCCCGCGUAAGAUUAGCUAGUUGGUGGGGUAAUGGCCUACCAAGGCGACGAUCUUUAGCUGGUCUGAGAGGAUGAUCAGCCACACUGGGACUGAGACACGGCCCAGACUCCUACGGGAGGCAGCAGUGGGGAAUAUUGGACAAUGGGCGAAAGCCUGAUCCAGCCAUGCCGCGUGGGUGAUGAAGGCCUUAGGGUUGUAAAGCUCUUUCAGUAGGGAAGAUAAUGACGGUACCUACAGAAGAAGCCCCGGCUAACUUCGUGCCAGCCGCCGCAGUAACAC
rnacentral:rRNA from 1 species